AAUUUGCAGUAUGUGUGAAGUGGCCCUGAAGUAUGUCAUAGUGAUUAAUUGGGUGUUUGUUUUGCAUGUCUUUUACAGGUACAAAAACAGUGGAUGGAGUCACAACAGGUAGAUCCUUCACCAGCUGAGGAGGUGGAACAGUCACCAGAUGUGUCCAAAGCUCAGGAGGAAAAAAAGGACAAAAAUUAACAGAAGAUUCACAAAGAUUGAAAUGUUAAAUGUCUCUCUGCCAAGUCCCGUGGUGCCUCGUUUUAGUCUGUUAUCAACCCUGUGCCCAAAGUCUGUGUGUCUUUACAUGUCUGUAAAUGUGCCGGUGUGUUUCACAUCAGUUGUGAAUGGGACGUCAGGUGUGUUGUCUGUCCAGCUGUGACAUACCGUGACUCCUCCCCCAGGCACCUGUUCCACUGUGGGUGUGGCUUUGUCAGCAACUCCAAGAAAAUACCAGUUUGAGUAAAAGCACCCAAAGCGUCUACAUAUAUCCACAGUGAAUCUUCUCAAAUGUUCUAUAUUUUUGUCUGUACAUCAGUUUUGUGGUGAACAAUAAUGAGCUAUAUGUGCACUCUGUUUUUAAGUUAUUCAUGCUAUAAAAUACAUCAAAUAUAUCAGAUGAGCUGGAAAAAAACUGCAUGUCAAUCAGCUCAUCUUAACUGCUGAUAUGAAUUUCUUUGGAUUUUAAGUGAUGAAUAAAAUGUGGAAGGAUUGUG